CACUCUAAAGAGACUGCCGGUGUCAAACCGGAGGAAGGUGGGGAUGACGUCAAGUCCUCAUGGCCUUUAUGACCAGGGCUACACACGUACUACAAUGGCCGGUACAAAGGGCAGCCACUUAGCGAUAAGGAGCCAAUCCCGUAAAGCCGGUCUCAGUCCGGAUUGGAGUCUGCAACUCGACUCCAUGAAGUUGGAAUCGCUAGUAAUCGCAGAUCAGCACGCUGCGGUGAAUACGUUCCCGGGCCUU
rnacentral:rRNA from 1 species